rnacentral:rRNA from 1 species
UACGAAGGGGGCUAGCGUUGCUCGGAAUGACUGGGCGUAAAGGGCGCGUAGGCGGAUUGCUUUGUCGGGCGUGAAAUUCCAGGGCUUAACCUUGGGGCUGCGUUCGAGACGGGUGAUCUUGAGUUCGGAAGAGGGUCGUGGAAUUCCCAGUGUAGAGGUGAAAUUCGUAGAUAUUGGGAAGAACACCGGUGGCGAAGGCGGCGACCUGGUCCGAUACUGACGCUGAGGCGCGAAAGCGUGGGGAGCAAACAGG